CUUCGGGUCCCCGUCAGAUACGGUUUCCCCUACAUCUCCUUCCCGCCCAGGUGGCAAAAAGCACGUGUGCUUGUUGCACGCUCGGAAUCGCCAUGCUGUGCUCGCGCCACAGGGAAACUACGCCCUGGAACUCGAAUCUGUUUCUGUCCCUGGAUUUACACCCCAGCCAUGCCACUGGUUUAUUCAGCCUGAGCUCACCUGGCUCUCAAGUCUGCCUGGAAUUAUUGUCAAGAGGACAAACAUAGCUCUCUGUGUUCCUGCCACAGUUUCAGCUGAUUCCCCUGAGGAUUUGGAUCAGUCAGCAAUCCGACUUCAGUCUGUUGGACUCUUCCACAUAAACUGUCUGGAUCAUAUCCUCUUCUGGAUUCUGCACCUCAUUCCCAGACUGAGAAGUGAUUCGUGGAAGCUGACUGCUGGUCUCCUGUUUUCUGAUCCUGAUUUGCUGAAUAAACCUUUUAACUUUUCACUUUGUGUUUGGCUGAAUUGGGUCCUCUGUCUCUGGUUGUGAUACCCUUAGGUGGUUGAGUAAAGCUCUCCAAACUACUUGGCUGGGGGGAAGGCGGUCAGAGUGCCAGAAAGCUCUGAACUCCUGUGGAGACGUUCGCGGGUUUUAAGGAAUAUUCACCCAUUACCCAGCGCGUAAUGGGCCUGACAAGUCCUAAGGAAACACCUCCUCCUCCUCAAGUAGAAAUGUUUGACUACACAGUAAAAAAUAUGGACCAAAAAUCACAGAGUGCAUCAAUUAAGGGGUUAAAGAGUCAAAACUUUCCUGCAGGAAGUUUCUUUUGUCUUAAAUAUUGCAAUCACCCGGAAAAGAAGGCAAGAGUGAAAAGGAACAUUAGAGAUGGGAAAAGAAAGUUGUUUUUGAAAAGAGCACAGUGCAUGUUCUGGAAGGAAGAGUGUG